rnacentral:rRNA from 4 species
CUCCGUAGGUGAACCUGCGGAGGGAUCAUUG